AUACGUAGGUGACAAGCGUUAUCCGGAUUUACUGGGCGUAAAGGGCGUGUAGGCGGUCUUGCAAGUCAGAAGUGAAAUUCCUGAGCUCAACUCGGGCGCUGCUUCUGAAACUGCAGGACUUGAGUGCUGGAGGGGAUAGCGGAAUUCCUAGUGGAGCGGUAAAAUGCGCAGAUAUUAGGAAGAACACCGGUGGCGAAGGCGGCUAUCUGGACAGUAACUGACGCUGAGGCGCGAAGGCGUGGGGAGCAAACAGGAUUAGAUCCCCGGGUAGUCCACGCCGUAAACGAUGAAUACUAGGUGUGGGGGGACUGACCCCUUCCGUGCCGCAGCUAACGCAAUAAGUAAUCCACCUGGGGAGUACGGCCGCAAGGUUGAAACUCAAAGGAAUUGACGGGG
rnacentral:rRNA from 1 species